UGUUCAUUUUGUGGAAACUGUUUUUCCUUAUGCUAAUCUCAAAACCUAUAACUUCACUGAAACCCCAUCAGUUAACAACUCUCCAAUAGUCUCACCAGAAUUUGUACCCAUCCUUCUUCUUGUUCUCCAUCUACCUGAAGUAGAGCAUCAUCCUCCCACCGAUCCUCCUCAUGACAAUCUGACUGAUUCGUCUCCCUAUGAUAUCAUCGUAAUACCCUCGUCCCCCACUAUCUCUACUCAGCCACAAUGAUAAACGACUCGCCCAGCGUAUCUAUAGGAUUACAUCUACUCCGAUCUUCUAAGUUCUUCAUGUUUCUCUCACCUUUUCCAAACUUUCUCAGGUACAGAUCAUUCUUAACCCAACUUUCUUUCUUAUCGUUUCUUUAGUCCUAUUAACUUGGCUUUUCUCACCUCUAUUUCCAAACAUGUUCAUGAUCCUCAUCUUUACUCUCAAGCUAUUCUCUUUUCUCAUUAGCAAGUUGCUAUGACUGAAGAAAUCAAAGCUUUAGAAAAUAACCACACUUGGACCCUUGUCUCUCUCUCUCUCUCUCUCUCCUAGAAAGAAAGCUAUUGGUUGCAAAUGGGUUUACAAAACCAAACUCCAUGCAGAUGGAUCCAUUGCUCGCCAUAAAGCUCGUUUGGUUGCCAAGGGUUACAAUCAGGUAGAAGUUUUGGACUAUCAUGACACUUUUGCUCCAGUUGCUAAACUCGUCAUUUUUCAUUGUUUUCUUGCUAUAUUUGCAGCUAAAAAUUGGUUUUUACACCAAAUGGACAUCAACAAUGCAUUUCUUCAUGGUGACCUCGACAAAGAAGUAUAUAUGCAACCAUUACCUGGUUAUUGUCCUAAGGGGGAGACGCACGUCUAUCGGUUACAGAAGUCCCUAUAUGAUUUGAAACAAGCAUCUCACCAGUGGUACUUCAAAUUGUCUCAAAUUCUCACUUUGGCCAACUUUCAACAAUCUCAUGUUGAUCAUAGCCUUUUCACUCAAACUAAGGGUACAGUGUUCACAGCCGUCCUUAUUUAUGUAGAUGACAUAUUGGCUACUGGGAAUGACCUUCCCACUAUACUUGCUCUCAAGUCUCACUUGGUUGAUGCUUUUGAAAUCAAAGAUCUAGGUAACAUGAAAUACUUUCUUGGCAUUGAAGUGGCCAGCUCCCCUACUGGAAUUUUUUUUUCAAUCAACGAAAAUACACUUUGGAAAUUCUCUCUGAUCCUGGUCAACUUGGCUCCCGUCCUGCUUAUUUC
rnacentral:lncRNA from 1 species